rnacentral:rRNA from 1 species
GAUGAACGCUGGCGGCGUGCCUAAUACAUGCAAGUCGAGCGGAGAGGGGACGGGGGAGUAACACGUAGAUAACCUCCUAUAAGGCUGGGAUAACUUCGGGAAACCGUAGCUAAACCGGCUAAUUAUAGCUGGAGCCGCGCUGCAUUAGCUAGUGGGUAAGGUAACGGCUUACCAAGGCAACGAUGCAUAGCCGACCUGAGAGGAUGAUCGGCCACACUGGAACUGAGACACGGUCCAGACUCCUACGGGAGGCAGCAGUAGGGAAUCUUCCGCAAUGGGCGAAAGCCUGACGCAGCAACGCCGCGUGAGUGAUGAAGGUCUUCGGAUCGUAAAACUCUGUUAUUAGGGAAGCGGUACCUAAACAGAAAGCCCCGGCUAACUCCGUGCCAGCAGCCGCGGUAAUAC